rnacentral:rRNA from 1 species
CCACGCUUUCGCACCUCAGUGUCAGUAUCAGUCCAGGUGGUCGCCUUCGCCACUGGUGUUCCUUCCUAUAUCUACGCAUUUCACCGCUACACAGGAAAUUCCACCACCCUCUACCGUACUCUAGCUCAGUAGUUUUGGAUGCAGUUCCCAGGUUGAGCCCGGGGAUUUCACAUCCAACUUGCUGAACCACCUACGCGCGCUUUACGCCCAGUAAUUCCGAUUAACGCUUGCACCCUUCGUAUUACCGCGGCUGCUGGCACGAAGUUAGCCGGUGCUUAUUCUGUUGGUAACGUCAAAACAGCAAGGUAUUAACUUACUGCCCUUCCUCCCAACUUAAAGUGCUUUACAAUCCGAAGACCUUCUUCACACACGCGGCAUGGCUGGAUCAGGCUUUCGCCCAUUGUCCAAUAUUCCCCACUGCUGCCUCCCGUAGGAGUCUGGACCGUGUCUCAGUUCCAGUGUGGCUGAUCAUCCUCUCAGACCAGUUACGGAUCGUCGCCUUGGUAGGCCUUUACCCCACCAACUAGCUAAUCCGACCUAGGCUCAUCUGAUAGCGUGAGGUCCGAAGAUCCCCCACUUUCUCCCUCAGGACGUAUGCGGUAUUAGCGCCCGUUUCCGGACGUUAUCCCCCACUACCAGGCAGAUUCCUAGGCAUUACUCACCCGUCCGCCGCUGAAUCCAGGAGCAAGCUCCCUUCAUCCGCUCGACUUGCAUGUGUUAGGCCUGCCGCCAGCGUUCAAUCUGAGCCAGGAUCAAACCCUC